GCAACGAAAGUGAAAGAGGACGUUAAACAGCAAUGAGUAGAUUAUCUGCGAAGUCACUGUGAAAAGAUAAUCUUACACAUUGAAUCACUGUCAGGUAUCAAUAUAGACGUACAUCUGUAUUUUGAAGUGGAGAAAAUGACCAUUAAAGUCUUCUCCAUCGCUUGAAACCCUUUAUUACACAUCAAGCCACCCACUUCACACCAUCCUGCUUAAGGGGACAGUUGCUAUUCCUCCACCUACAAACAUUCCUGGGAUAGAACUCACCAUCCAUGUCAUCGUUGGAGAUGCUGCUUUUCCAUUGCAUGAGAAAUUCUGGGCGAAAAGCCAGCAACUUGCCAGAAAAGGUGGAAGCUGACGAGGGACA
ensembl:lncRNA